GGUGUAGGAGGCAUGUGCAUUAUCCAAUAGACCCCUGCAGCUGUGCUACCAACCUCAAACAAUUAGUAUCAAUACUAUUAAUACUCAUCGUCACUGUAACCCAUUGGCUUCUUUGUAAUCUUUCAGUUGGGGCAUGAAGCAGAGAGGUCUCACGAAUCCAGGAUCUGUCGGCUAUGCCACUUGAUGGACCACAUGCAAACAGCAUUCUACUGUGCCCGUCUUCUAACCACAUGCAAGCACUAAAUUCAAAAGCCUUUGGACAAAGCCAUGCUCUCAUUCACGAUGACACACAAUCACUGGCUUAAGAGGCCAGUGCCUCAUCCAUUAGGCAACGGGGACCAAGGCCUUGACCUCAAAUGAGUAGCUUUGAUAGCGCUAAUACUCAUCUUCAAUAGAAACAACAGGCAUCUUGUCCAUCUUUCUGUUGGGGGCCUGAUUCGGACAGGUCUUAACCUCUGGGUUAUAAAGCCAGCAUCUGUCUGCUACUCCAUGCUCUACAUUCAAGAAGAAUUGGACAUGUCUUUUCUCUCAUCCAUGGUGAAUGACUACUUAAAUUUAUUUAUGAUUUAAAUCAAGGUAACAUUGGCCAUUUUUGUGUUUUAUUCAUAAGAAAUCCAUUCUUAGCAGAGGAUGGUUUCGAUCCAUCGACCUCUGGGUUAUGGGCCCAGCACGCUUCCGCUGCGCCACUCUGCUCAACUGUCACUUCCAGUGGAAUAUGAACCCACAUUCCCUGGUGUAGGAGGCAUGUGCAUUAUCCAAUAGACCCCUGCAGCUGUGCUACCAACCUCAAACAAUUAGUAUCAAUACUAUUAAUACUCAUCGUCACUGUAACCCAUUGGCUUCUUUGUAAUCUUUCAGUUGGGGCAUGAAGCAGAGAGGUCUCACGAAUCCAGGAUCUGUCGGCUAUGCCACUUGAUGGACCACAUGCAAACAGCAUUCUACUGUGCCCGUCUUCUAACCACAUGCAAGCACUAAAUUCAAAAGCCUUUGGACAAAGCCAUGCUCUCAUUCAC